AGAGAGAGACAUGCGCGCAUAUCAAUAAGCGGAGGAAAAGAAACUAACAAGGAUUCCCUUAGUAACGGCGAGUGAAGCGGGAAGAGCUCAAAUUUGAAAUCUUCAAGGUUUUACCUUGACGAAUUGUAGUUUAAAGAAGUGUUUUCUGCUGAAGUUUUGGUAAAAGGUUCUUUGGAAUAGGACAUCAUAGAGGGUGAGGAAUCCCGUAUUUGACCAUUAUUUUCAGCUUUGUGAUACACUUUCAAAGAGUCGGAUUGUUUAGGAAUGCAGUCCAAAAUGGGUGGUAAAUUUCAUCUAAAGCUAAAUAUUGGCGAGAGACCGAUAGCGAACAAGUACCGUGAGGGAAAGAUGAAAAGAACUUUGAAAAGAGAGUUAAACAGUACGUGAAAUUGUCAAAAGGGAAGCGUUUGACACCAGUGUUGUUUUCUCGAAAAUCAAUUAAAAAUGGCUCGAUUUUGUAUUGCUUGAGACCUUAAAAGCUCACUGUACAUUUUUCGUGUCUUUUUUAAUGCACUUUUCGUUUAACAAGUCAACAUCAGUUUCUUUUGUUGUAAAAGGGUCAUUGGAAGGUGGCUUUCUUUUCGGAGAAAGUGUUUAUAGCCUUUGGCCUCUGCAAUCGGAAGAGACUGAGGUCUGCAGCGUAGACUCUUCGGGGUUAGAUACAUUUGUGCUAAGUUAUAGCUUUUUAUAGACAACUUGUUGACUAUAAUUAGUCUUGUAGCUUACUCGCUUAUGCUAUUUUACCUACGCUUAGGAUGUUGAAGAUGUAGCACAUCAU
rnacentral:rRNA from 1 species